rnacentral:lncRNA from 1 species
AAAACACCACUAUGCCUCAAAACCAAACCAAACAGCUUAAGAUUUUUAAAACUCUAUUUAUCUGUUAAUAGAAAUGGGACUACUGAAUAUUUUAAUGCCUAGUUCUUCAACAGUAGACCUAAAGGGUUUUAAGCUUUAAAUCCAAUUGCUAGUUUUUGCAUACUAUAUGUUAGUGAGAAGUAAAGAAUAUGUGUGGUGGUAUUAAGAUUAUGCCUUCUUGAUAACAAUAGGUAAAACAAUUUGAAUCUUCUUAGCAUGUUAAAUGUUUAUUUUUUCUAAUUAAUGAACUUCUCACAGAAAUUUUGCUUUGUAAAACCAAUGAUUGUGGAAAAAAAUCUAUAUAUCAUUUCAGUUACUUUGGGGUAACAAUAGCACAUAAUUCCUUUUUUAAAAAAUGUAGCCUUCAGCUGAUUGGAUGUAAUAAUCUCCAGUGGCCAAAGUAUAUAACUCAGACACGUUACAUAUUCUAAAACAUAAUUUUUCUUGAGCAUUAAGUUAACACAAAUGUUAAUGUAUUAUACAUAAGCUUCAGCUUAUGGGACAGAGUACAUAUUUGGGUUGGUAUUGGUUGAAUCCUCCAGUUAACUGCUUUGUUGUUGUUUUUUUUUUUUUUUUUUUUUUUUGCAAGAUUUGUAAUCAUAAAACUGUUAGGCAUCUUAAGUCAUCUUUUUCUACUGUUCAUUUAUAUUCUUCAGUUUUCUGAAGAUGCCAGACGUACAGGUAGCAGCCAUUCAUGCAUGGAAACUGACUUCACACAUACCAAUACUGCAUUUUGUUGUAAGGUUUUCACAUUAAUACAGCAAUUACACUGAUUAAAUUGAGUUUUUUUAAUAUAUGAAAAACUUUGCAUUGUAAGAGAAUCUUGCAGACAAUGUUGAAAUCUAUUAACAUCCAAAUAAAAGCAUCUGUGU